UACGGAGGGUGCAAGCGUUAUCCGGAUUCACUGGGGUUAAAGGGUGCGUAGGCGGGCAGGUAAGUCCGUGGUGAAAUCUCUGAGCUUAACUCAGAAACUGCCAUGGAUACUAUUUGUCUUGAAUAUUGUGGAGGUGAGCGGAAUAUGUCAUGUAGCGGUGAAAUGCUUAGAUAUGACAUAGAACACCAAUUGCGAAGGCAGCUCACUACACAAUUAUUGACGCUGAGGCACGAAAGCGUGGGGAUCAAACAGG
rnacentral:rRNA from 1 species